ACCAUUUCUUCUUCUUACCUACUUCAUCAUUCAUGCUCAUCUCAAUGUUGGCUAUAAGGUAAAGGGAAGCACGCCUCAAGUGAUCAUGCAAACAACUCCAGUGAAGACACUGCGCAUGCUCUCUUCCCAAGUGCGGGCAGGCAGCUGUGCAUGUGGGCAGCCCACCCCAAAGGAAGAAGAAUCAGGAAAGAAGGGGCGCAAGACUCCGGACGUAUGCCAACGCAUAAAACCCCAAGUCAAAAGCUCAAACCACACAUCUGUCCUCCAAGAUGCCUACUUGGCCCCUUCCAAGAGUAAUUUACUUUCGUUUCAUUCCUGCUCUAAAGCUUUUUAAUAAAUGUUCACUCUUGCU
ensembl:lncRNA novel transcript, antisense to PIEZO2